AACGCGAAGAACCUUACCAGCCCUUGACAUCCCGGUCGCGGACUCCAGAGAUGGAGUUCUUCAGUUCGGCUGGACCGGAGACAGGUGCUGCAUGGCUGUCGUCAGCUCGUGUCGUGAGAUGUUGGGUUAAGUCCCGCAACGAGCGCAACCCCCGUCCUUAGUUGCUACCAUUUAGUUGAGCACUCUAAGGAGACUGCCGGUGAUAAGCCGCGAGGAAGGUGGGGAUGACGUCAAGUCCUCAUGGCCCUUACGGGCUGGGCUACACACGUGCUACAAUGGCGGUGACAAUGGGAUGCGAAGGCGCAAGUCCUAGCAAAUCUCAAAAAGCCGUCUCAGUUCGGAUUGGGCUCUGCAACUCGAGCCCAUGAAGUUGGAAUCGCUAGUAAUCGUGGAUCAGCACGCCACGGUGAAUACGUUCCCGGGCCUUGUACACACCGACGCGUA
rnacentral:rRNA from 1 species